GAAGUCCCGUCCAAGGAGCUGUCCGUACACCUUGGUAGUUCAAGGGAGCGGCGCCGAAGUAAUUCUGUGUCGUAAGUUCCCAAUUGGCAAAGUAUCAGGCCGCAACGCAAGUGAACCUACACGUAGCCUCGUAAACGAAUUGGAGAAGCCGACCCUGUGGUCAGAAGGGGAAGGCCGCUGGAUGUACGCUGAAACAACGGAAGUGGCGUGCAUCGACUCCCGGGGUAGCAGGGGC
rnacentral:ncRNA from 1 species